AUGCAAAUGCGCAGUUACGUUAGAGAAGGAAAGUAGCCGUAGGUCGUAGGUACGUUUUAUUUGCGGUUGCGCAAAAACAAAACAGCUGUUAUUGAUUGUUACUUACAUCGAACGUAUAAAUGGAUUAUUUAUACGUUCAUCAAUUUUGAGAAGGCAAGCGAUUUAUUGGGUUAUUUACGUCGGUCACACGUGACCUUUACAGUUUUUACGUACAUAUUCGGAUUUGCACCUGCUGCGCAAUAUUGUUUAAUAUAAAGCAAGAAAAAGGCCGAUGGAAAUCGAAAGAUGUGCAAGAGGCGCCGGGUCCCCUUAACAAUAAAUUGGAGGUGUACGCUGUCGCUAUAAAAAUAGGUAAUCUCAAAUUUCACUUAUUCUUACCUGUAAUGCAAAUUGAGUGAACAGUUACAGGUUCGUGGGAAUUAAUAAUGGAUAAAGAGUCCAGAGAUAAACCGUGUUAAUGGAACGAAGCUCAUGUUCUACGACUCUUGUAAGGAACAAGCACAUCGACAAGUUGAUGCUCCUUCGUAAUGGAAAUUAUGUCGAGUUCAAUCGUGAUAUAUCUACUAACACGAUUAGUUAAAUAUGUAAUCUCCAUUGAAUGAGAGAUUUGUAUAUUUACAAGAUGCUAAUACAUGUACCUGUGUAGAAACACGAGCACGUGAGACAUUGUUAGACACGUAUCUCGUUCUGUUUGAUGGGUGCACCGUAGUAUGUAAACGAAGACGUGUCAUUCGCUAACAAAGUUACACAAAUAUUGUCAACAAAAUUUGUAUCCUGAUAAUUAAACGAUUAUCCUAUUCGUCA